UACGAAGGGGGCUAGCGUUGCUCGGAAUUACUGGGCGUAAAGGGCGCGUAGGCGGAUGUUUAAGUCGGGGGUGAAAGCCCGGGGCUCAACCUCGGAAUUGCCUUCGAUACUGGACAUCUUGAGUACGGGAGAGGUGAGUGGAACUCCGAGUGUAGAGGUGAAAUUCGUAGAUAUUCGGAAGAACACCAGUGGCGAAGGCGACUCACUGGCCCGUUACUGACGCUGAGGCGCGAAGGCCAGGGGAGCAAACGGG
rnacentral:rRNA from 1 species